CCCGGCGACCGGCGCACGGGUGAGUAACGCGUAUGCAACUUACCUAUCAGGAGGGGGAUAACCCGGCGAAAGUCGGACUAAUACCGCAUGAAGCAGGGGCCCCGCAUGGGGAUAUUUGCUAAAGAUUCAUCGCUGAUAGAUAGGCAUGCGUUCCAUUAGGCAGUUGGCGGGGGUAACGGCCCACCAAACCGACGAUGGAUAGGGGUUCUGAGAGGAAGGUCCCCCACAUUGGUACUGAGGCACGGACCAAACUCCUACGGAAGGCAGCAG
rnacentral:rRNA from 1 species